CCUACGGGAGGCAGCAGUGGGGAAUAUUGGACAAUGGGGGGAACCCUGAUCCAGCGACGCCGCGUGAGUGAAGAAGUAUUUCGGUAUGUAAAGCUCUAUCAGCAGGGAAGAAAGAAAUGACGGUACCUGACUAAGAAGCCCCGGCUAACUACGUGCCAGCAGCCGCGGUAAUACGUAGGGGGCAAGCGUUAUCCGGAUUUACUGGGUGUAAAGGGAGCGUAGACGGUUACGCAAGUCUGGAGUGAAAGGCGGGGGCUCAACCCCCGGACUGCUUUGGAAACUGUAUAACUGGAGUGCAGGAGAGGUAAGUGGAAUUCCUAGUGUAGCGGUGAAAUGCGUAGAUAUUAGGAGGAACACCAGUGGCGAAGGCGGCUUACUGGACUGUAACUGACGUUGAGGCUCGAAAGCGUGGGGAGCAAACAGGAUUAGAUACCCGAGUAGUC
rnacentral:rRNA from 1 species